GAUUAUACUUUUAUUUAAUUUUGGCUAGUCACAUUUUUUCCAAAAUGAAUACAUUUACUUUUUAUGACAACUCACAUUUUUCCUAAUGCCUAUAUUUUCAAUAAAUAAAAGUUUAGUCUAAAUAUUAAAUGACAAAUGAGUGCUACGUAAACGUUUCACUGACCAAAGUCUUCUUAAUAUCUCAUCCAAUUUGAAGCAAAAUAACACUUCAAAUACAAUCUGAUGCUCAAAACUAAAAUCAUCACAUUGAGCUAAAAACAUCAUCUGACAUUUGAUUCCUUUACAAUAACGUAGCUAACAGAUCUCUAGUCAUUGUAAUAGAUUCAAGGUCUAAAAAGCCCAAAAGUGAGAACAAAAAGGAAUGUCAAUAAGGUAAAGAUGAAACGACGGAUGGUUUGAUGAAAUGUUUGAUUGUUUGAUAAAAUAUUUUGUACAAUAAGAACUACGUAAUAGAACCGAAACCAUAUACAAUCAAACAUAUCGAUAAUAACCUCGUUUGUUCACAAUAUUUUAUAUAUAUAUAUAUAUAUAUGUGUAUAUAUAUAUAUGUAUAUAUAUAUAUAUAACAAAUAUUAUAACAUAAUAUGAAAUUUAGUUUCGAAAAAGCUUGACUUUCAUAGUGAAGUGUUGUUAUAUAUGAAUGUUGUUAUAGAAAGGUUUGUCAGUAAAUAUUGCAUGAAUUACAACAAAAAACCUAUGAUAUGUAAUGUGGACAAAACAAAGCUAAGAUGUGAUUUAGAGGAUGAAUAGAGAUUUGACACAUUCUUUGAAAUUUUCAUGUGAGGUAACAAAGAAGCAACUUGACCACAUGUGUUUGUUGGAAGAGGAUUGCUAUUAAUAUUUGGAGGGAGGCUUUUAGGCUAAGGGAAUUUUGGNNN
rnacentral:lncRNA from 1 species